CGUGUGGUUCUAUUUUGUUGGUUUCUAGGACCGCCGUAAUGAUUAAUAGGGACAGUCGGGGGCAUCAGUAUUCAAUUGUCAGAGGUGAAAUUCUUGGAUUUAUUGAAGACUAACUACUGCGAAAGCAUUUGCCAAGGAUGUUUUCAUUAAUCAGGAACGAAAGUUAGGGGAUCGAAGACGAUCAGAUACCGUCGUAGUCUUAACCAUAAACUAUGCCGACUAGGGAUCGGACGGUGUUAUUUUUUGACCCGUUCGGCACCUUACGAGAAAUCAAAGUGCUUGGGCUCCAGGGGGAGUAUGGUCGCAAGGCUAAAACUUAAAGAAAUUGACGGAAGGGCACCACCAGGGGUGGAGCCUGCGGCUUAAUUUGACUCAACACGGGGAAACUCACCAGGUCCAGACACAAUGAGGAUUGACAGAUUGAGAGCUCUUUCUUGAUUUUGUGGGUGGUGGUGCAUGGCCGUUCUUAGUUGGUGGAGUGAUUUGUCUGCUUAAUUGCGAUAACGAACGAGACCUUAACCUGCUAAAUAGCCCGUAUUGCUCUGGCAGUACGCUGGCUUCUUAGAGGGACUAUCGGCUCAAGCCGAUGGAAGUUUGAGGCAAUAACAGGUCUGUGAUGCCCUUAGAUGUUCUGGGCCGCACGCGCGCUACACUGACGGAGCCAGCGAGUACUUCCUUGUCCGAAAGGUCCGGGUAAUCUUGUUAAACUCCGUCGUGC
rnacentral:rRNA from 1 species